ACAUACGACCAUACCCAGUGGAAAACUCGGGAUCCCGUCCGCUCCCCCAUAGAUAAGCCACUGAGGGCCGGGUUAGUACUCAGGUCGGUGACGACUGGGGAAUCCCCGGUGUUGUAUGUU
rnacentral:rRNA from 1 species